GGUCCUGUAGUGUAGCGGUUAUCACAUGGGAUUCUGAUAUUUCAUCUGGCCACUGGCCACUUAACUUUCCCAUGACCCAGGUUCGAUUCCUGGCAGGACCU